GGCGAUCGAAGCACGCAGUGGCGCGACCCACCAGACGGGUCGUCUGAUCCCACGCGCGGCUGAACCACAAACCAGAGGAGGGGAUCGAAGGAAGGGGGCGACUUCCUUUCUCUCGCCCCUGAACAAAAAAAAGAUCGAAGCCAGAACAGACAGACAGGGGAGACACCAGAUCGAACCAAGAAAAGAGAAAGGGGAGAGAUCGGGUCAAGCGAAGAGGGAGGUGAGAAGAGGGUUUCAGGAGGCUGGCGGCGGCGGCCUCUCCUCCCUGACGGCGCGCUUCACGGCGGGGGAGCUUGAAUCCUCGGGGCCCCUUCCUGCCGCCCCUGAACGCCGCUGCUCCUCUCCAACACGCUGCCGAUCUUCCCCAAGGAUCCUCUUCUGCUUCUCUUCUUCAAAGAUCACGCACAAGACCUCAAGCCUUUCACGCAGAAGAUCUUUUCUAGUUGACUGGCUUUACGGAGAUAACGCAAAAAUGACACGAGAGAAGAGCUGGAUGGAGAGGGAAAGAGGUUCUGUUGAGUGGCAAACUGGCAUGAAGGAUUUCUUGAAUUUUGCCUUCGAUGGUGCUCACCCAGACUCAACAGUCCCAUACCCAUGUAGGAGAUGUCUUAAUAUUGUUCCGAAAAAGAAAAAGGAUGUUCAUACUGACUUGCUGUUCAAUGGGAUGGAUCCAAUCUACACUCACUGGAUAUACCAUGGUGAACAAUCGGAUGAGGGAAGCAUGUCUGAAGAUUCUGAUAAUGAAGACGCUGUAGAUGAUGGUGCUGGGGUAUGUGACAUGCUCAAUACUCUCAUAAGGGGCACAAACAUGCAAAACAAUACAAACAUUGGUGAAGGUGCGGGAGACAUUCAUGUGGAUGCUUCCAGCGGUGAAGAAAGGAACCAGGAGCCAAAUGCAACAGCCUAGGUCUUCUUCGAACUAUUGAAAGAGGCAAAAAAAGAGUUGUACCCAGGUUGCAAGGAUUUCACGAAGCUAUCUUUCAUUGUGAAGCUUUACCAAAUCAAGUGCAUGUCUGGGAUGACCAAUAGAGCAUGUGACUUAGUUCUGCAGAUGUUCACACAGGUGUUGCCAAAGGAUGCUCGCAGUGUUCGGCUUGGUCUUGCUUCGGAUGGAUUCAACCCCUUUGGGCUCAUGAGUAUAUCACACAGUACAUGGCCUGUCAUUCUUAUUCCAUAUAACUUGCCACCUUGGAUGUGUAUGAAACAAGAAAAUUGGAUUAUGUCAAUGAUUAUUCCAGGACCAAAGUCACUAGGAAAUAACAUAGAUGUGUACUUGCAGCCCUUGAUUGAUGAACUGAAUGUUCUAUGGGAGGAUGGUGCUGAGACAUAUGAUGCUGCAACUAAAUUUUUUUUCCAGAUCUAUGCAUGCUUGUUGUGGACCAUUAGUGACUACCCAGCUUACGCAAUGCUGAGUGGUUGGAGCACAAAAGGCAAGCUAGCAUGCCCGUAUUGCCACAAACAUACAGAUUUUUUAUGGCUCAAGUAUGGUCGAAAGCAUUGCUACAUGGGACACCGACGUUUUCUGCCCAGGACCCACAAAUGGCGUCGAAACAAGUGUUUGUUCAACAACAAGGCAAAUAAUAGAGAAGCUCCAGUGGUACUUACAGGUGAACAAGUUCUGCGGGAACUUGAUAGCAUUCAGCAUGCACCAUUCGGACGGUCAAAUAAGAGAAAGCGACCGGAAACUAGCAGCUGGCAUAACUGGCGGAAGAAAAGUGUAUUUUUCCAACUCCCAUAUUGGAAGAACUUGCUCGUAAGGCACAAUUUGGAUGUUAUGCACAUCGAGAAGAACAUUUGUGACAGCAUUGUGGGGACUUUGCUUGAGAUGGAUAAGAAAUCAAAGGAUGGUGUGAAGGCUCGUCUUGAUUUACAGGACCUGAAAAUUAGGAAGGACCAGCAUCCAAAGCCUGGUAAGCAUAAGUAUGACAUAAAGAAAGGUUGCUAUACUUUAAAAAAGGAAGAAAAGAUAAUGCUCCUCAAUUUUCUGCAGAGCAUUAAGAUGCCUGAUGGCUAUGCUUCACACAUUAAGCGAUGUGUAGUCCUCGAUCGGUGCAAGAUUAGUGGACUCAAAACUCAUGAUUGUCAUGUUAUAUUUCAGAAACUUCUUCCUAUUGCAUUGCGCAAGCUUUUGCCAGAGAAUGUUGUUAACCCAUUGCUUCAGCUGAGUAAAUUCCUUUCUGAUUUAUGCUCCAAGGAGUUAAGGGAUGAAGAUUUGGAGAGGUUGAGCAAAACAAUUCCAGAAACUCUAUGUCAGCUUGAGAUGAUCUUUCCACCAGCAUUCUUUGAUAUUAUGAUGCAUCUCCCAAUUCAUCUUGCUGAAGAGGCCCGAUUGGGAGGGCCUGUCUUGUACAGAUGGAUGUAUCCAAUUGAGUGAUACUUGCGUACGCUCAAAGGAUAUGUGCGUAACAAGGCUCAACCAGAAGGUUCUAUUGCAGAGGGGUACAUACUUGAAGAGUGCAUGACUUUUUGCAGUCGAUUCGUUGAUGGAAUGCCUACCAAGCUAAGUCAGUCCGAAUGUCAUGAAGACGGAGGUACAGAUCAACCAUCAACAGGAAUUAGCAUCAUGAGUACAGUUGAUUACUCCAAGAAAGGUUUUGUUUGUGAAUCAUUGUCUUUGGCUGAGAUUAAUCAAAUGAGGCAUUUCAUAAUAACAAACUGUGAGGAAACCGCGCCAUGGAUUGAUGAACAUCUUGAGGAGCUGACAAGUAAAAAUUCUCCUAAUCCUGAAAGGCAGCACAAGGAAGAGUUUGUUGGCUGGUUUGAGAGACGGAUCACAGAACUCCACAAUGAUGGGAAGGUCAGCAAUCUUAUUUAUGCGCUAGCUAAAGGACCUGAUCAUCUAGCCCGUGUAUACAAUCGUACAGUUCUGAAUGGAUAUUUCUUUCGGAAUUCCUAUAUCGAGCAGGACUUGAGUACCCAAAAUAGUGGCGUCAUAGUCAAGGGCGAUGCAACCACAGGCAAUAUUGAUUAUUAUGGGGUGAUCAAGAAAAUCAUAUUUCUUGACUUCCCUCCUGAUAAGGAGGUUGUUCUAUUCCAGUGUGACUGGUUUGAUGUGCCUCCUGCCAACAUAACUGAGAGUAAGGGGUAUAAGAAAGACAAAUAUGGAAUUAUUUACCUUGACACUACUCUACACCAAUUCCAGGGAGACCCUUACAUUCUAGGCCUCCAAGCUCAACAGGUUUUCUAUGUGAGAGAUGUGAAGAACCCUGAUUGGGCAACUGUUAUUAAAAUGAAUCCACGCAAUUUGUUUGCUCCUUCUGUUUUAAAUGGUGUAGGCCUUGAUGAAGCUGUUGAAGCCGAUGAAGGUGGUGACGCAGACGUACUGGAUGUCGUCGAUGCGGAAAUUACAGUGCCAGAAAUUACAAUACCUGAAGAGAUCACUAGUUGGUGCAGAAAUGAUGAUGAAGGAUCCAGCAUUGAUGUUUCAGUCAUAGAAAAUAUAAAACCUGUUGAGUUUGAAGAUGUUCAGUUCGAAUCUGAUGAUGAUACGGAUGAUGAUGAGUCUUACGUAAAUGAUGGCCAUGUUGCUCCUUUGGGACAAGAAGAAUCAGAUGAUGACCAAGGGUUCUUUGUAUAGUUUUUAAUCUCUUGGUUCAAACAAGGCACCCCCUGCAUAGUGUCAUCGGUUGUUGCAAAUGAGAACAAAAGCUAGUGCCUAGCACUAACAGUUUGGUGAUGAAGAGAAGAGAAGAGUAGUUGAUGUUCUUUUAGUGAUGUUGCUGUUUUGACAGUGAUGCUAUGUACACAUUGUUGCUAUGAACUUGUGGUUUUUAGUGUUGUCACUAUUUUCAUUACUUUGCCAUCAACUUAUGGUCUUUUGUGUGAACAAGUAUGGCUGCUGAAACUUGUGUGCUUUCAUGUUGAAA